GCGGAGCAAAGUGUGUGUGCAGGAGAGGAGUCGAGCAGAGAGAGCUGCUUUUUCAUGAAACGGGAGUAAAGUAGUAAACGUACAGGAACAUAUACCACUACCAACGUUUGGAUCGAUAUCUGCAUCGAUCUGCACACCCUUGUCUCCUGGAUCCUAGCUGGGAUCAGCGUGAACCACGUGGGUCUCUGCUACCUGAUCUGUUUCCUGUUUGGAAAGACUUUAAGCUUCAUCAAGGAGUCUCUCUCGGUUUGUGAGCUCAUCUAAAGGGAUGUGUGUAUAUACUUUUUGUGUCCCAGCUGAGUAACAGGAGCAGAAGAGUAUGGUGGAGCAGCGGAAGGACAAUUUCAGCCAUUUGGACUCAGCUCAGCCACUACAGAGGAAACAAUGACUUCAACACAAAAGGACCAACAUGAGGCGAAAAGUCAGCGCUCU